rnacentral:rRNA from 1 species
GUGGGGAAUCUUAGACAAUGGGGGAAACCCUGAUCUAGCCAUGCCGCGUGAGGGAAGACGGCCUUCGGGUUGUAAACCUCUUUUGUACGGGAAGAAGGAAGUGACGGUACUGUACGAAUAAGUCCCGGCUAACUACGUGCCAGCAGCCGCGGUAAUACGUAGGGGACGAGCGUUGUCCGGAAUUACUGGGCGUAAAGGGCGCGCAGGCUGUGCUGCAAGUCAGCUGUGAAAUGUCUGGGCUUAACCCGGGCAUGCGGUUGAGACUGCAGUGCUGGAGUGCUGUAGAGGCAAGUGGAAUUCCCAGUGUAGCGGUGAAAUGCGUAGAUAUUGGGAAGAACACCGGUGGCGAAGGCGACUUGCUGGGCAGCAACUGACGCUGAGGCGCGAAAGCCAGGGGAGCAAACGGGAUUAGAUACCCCAGUAGUCC